rnacentral:rRNA from 1 species
CGGAGGAAAAGAAACCAACUGGGAUUACCUUAGUAACGGCGAGUGAAGCGGUAAAAGCUCAAAUUUGAAAUCUGGUACUUUCAGUGCCCGAGUUGUAAUUUGUAGAAUUUGUCUUUGAUUAGGUCCUUGUCUAUGUUCCUUGGAACAGGACGUCAUAGAGGGUGAGAAUCCCGUUUGGCGAGGAUACCUUUUCUCUGUAAGACUUUUUCGAAGAGUCGAGUUGUUUGGGAAUGCAGCUCAAAGUGGGUGGUAAAUUCCAUCUAAAGCUAAAUAUUGGCGAGAGACCGAUAGCGAACAAGUACAGUGAUGGAAAGAUGAAAAGAACUUUGAAAAGAGAGUGAAAAAGUACGUGAAAUUGUUGAAAGGGAAGGGCAUUUGAUCAGACAUGGUGUUUUUUGCAUGCACUCGCCUCUCGUGGGCUUGGGCCUCUCAAAAAUUUCACUGGGCCAACAUCAAUUCUGGCAGCAGGAUAAAUCAUUAAGAAUGUAGCUACUUCGGUAGUGUUAUAGCUUUUUGGAAUACUGUUAGCCGGGAUUGAGGACUGCGCUUCGGCAAGGAUGUUGGCAUAAUGGUUAAAUGCCGCCCGUCUUGA